rnacentral:rRNA from 2 species
CUGGCGGCGCGCCUAACACAUGCAAGUCGAACGGUUAAAGCACCUUUUAGGUGUGUAUAAAGUGGCGAACGGCUGAGUAACACGUGGGCAACCUGCCCUCCUCUUGGGGAUAGCCUCGGGAAACCGAGGAUAAUACCCGAUACUUCAAUGUGGCCGCAUGGCGACAUUGAGAAAGCUUUUGCGGAGAAGGAUGGGCCCGCGGCCUGUUAGCUUGUUGGUGGGGUAGAGGCCUACCAAGGCAAUGAUGGGUAGCUGGGUUGAGAGACCGACCAGCCGGAUUGGGACUGAGACACGGCCCAGACUCCUACGGGAGGCAGCAGUGGGGAAUCUUGCACAAUGGGCGAAAGCCUGAUGCAGCGACGCCGCGUGCGGGACGAAGGCCUUUCGGGUUGUAAACCGCUUUUCAGCAGGGACGAGGCGAUAAGUGACGGUACCUGCAGAAGAAGCCC